rnacentral:rRNA from 1 species
UACGUAGGUGGCAAGCGUUGUCCGGAUUUACUGGGCGUAAAGAGCGCGCAGGCGGUCGAUCAAGUCGAGUGUGAAAGCCCCCGGCUCAACUGGGGAGGGUCAUUCGAUACUGAUCGACUCGAAGGCAGGAGAGGGUAGUGGAAUUCCCGGUGUAGUGGUGAAAUGCGCGAUAUCGGGAGGAACACCAGUGGCGAAGGCGACUACCUGGCCUGUUCUUGACGCUGAGGCGCGAAAGCUAGGGGAGCAAACGGGG